UACGGAGGAUCCAAGCGUUAUCCGGAAUCAUUGGGUUUAAAGGGUCCGUAGGCGGGAUAAUAAGUCAGUGGUGAAAGUCUGCAGCUCAACUGUAGAAUUGCCAUUGAUACUGUUAUUCUUGAGUGUUUAUGAAGUGGUUAGAAUAUGUAGUGUAGCGGUGAAAUGCAUAGAUAUUACAUAGAAUACCGAUUGCGAAGGCAGAUCACUAAUAAAAUACUGACGCUGAUGGACGAAAGCGUAGGUAGCGAACAGG
rnacentral:rRNA from 1 species